UGUGAAUUGCAGAAUCCCGUGAACCAUCGAGUCUUUGAACGCAAGUUGCGCCCGAAGCCAUUAGGCCGAGGGCACGUCUGCCUGGGCGUCA
rnacentral:rRNA from 1 species